UGGAUGCAGCUGUGUGCUCAAACAAAUCUUGUCGUUAAUGCGACUUCCUAUUUGACCUAAUUUAGAUUUCUAUGUUUUUCCAAGCACGGAUUAUGAUCUUUUCUCAGCUCACUGUUCGAGUUUAGAUAUUUUGUGCUACUACAGCUGCAGAGAUCCAAACAUUGAUGAGAAGAACUCUUGAGCACAGCUAAAAUUCCCAAUUAUUUGGAUGUGGUGGAUGAGACCACCACCACCAACAAUAAUAACAAAGCAUAAAGCCCCAGUUAUGUGGUGUGGGUUAUGUUGAGCUCCAUCAGUCAAAAUAUGUUAUUUUGAGCUGAUGAUUUUGAUGAUCAUGCAUCAUUUUUUUCAGCUAAAUCAAGGCAUAAAGGGCAAGGCAUAGAUAUGUUCGGUAUAUCUGAUAUAUCUGGAAGUGAUAAAAUGCUGCUUGAGGUAAUCGAGUGAUGCUUUUUUUUUUUAUCCCUUUUUUCUAGUUUCAAUUUCGUACACCAAUUUUAUUAAUUGAAUUUUCAAAUAAGUAGAUGUGCAUAAAAGUUAUGCCUUAAUUAUAUUUUGCAAGAGGUAAGUAAUAAAUACAAAAUUUGAUCCAAUAUGUUUGUCAUCAACAAUCAAAUAUUUAUCAACUAAGCAAAUCGAUAUUUUUGAUAUUGUAUAAUAAUAAGUUAAUUAUGGAGAAGCUAUAAUUCAAUUACAAAAUCUUAUUAAAGAUGUUAAUUAGAUCCACUGCUCUCAGCCUAAUUGAUUGAUUGCUUCUUAGUUAUCUUUUUUUUUUCUUUUUCAGGUACCAUAUCAAUUGAAUAUAUAUUUGAAAGCUUAAGCAUGUCUUAUGUUUAACUUUGCUUUUACUACAGUGGAGGGAAAUUUGAUCAUUAAAAUGUAACAACAACAACUCAACAUAUAAGUGAAGGAUGGGAGGCAAAACUAAUUGGAUAUUUCUUUGGACUGUAGAUGUGGAUGGAUCAUCUUGUACUUUUUAUUUAUGUGGUGAUAUACAAGUAGCAUGUGGUCAUGAGAUGUUGUAAGUUCCAUAAUUUAC
rnacentral:lncRNA from 1 species